UUUAUACAACUGGCAAAGCGCCGAGCAGCACAGGGCACAGCACUGGCGGGGCAGCAUGAGGCUGUUCGGCAAGCACGUGUUCCCUAGGCAGAUCGUCUUGUUCGCCGCAGGGAUGGUGUUCUUUGGGGCGACGACGUACGACGUGCACCGGUCCAUCAAGAACAACGAGCAGCCGCCGACCAGGGAGCAGAUGGAGGCGCUCCAGGACUACAUCAACUCCAAGAAUCCAAGAGGACCUCCAAGAGAUUGAGGGGAGCUGGGGAGGCCCUCCACGAAUCCAAGAAGCAGUGAGGGGGCAACAAGCGGGUGCGUGCUAUUUGUUCGACGAUAUCUCACUGAGGACUUCUGGAAACUGGAUUGUGUAUAAGAAACCAGUAAAAUUAAGGCUGUCUGGUUGUAAUUGUAAAUCAGUAAAUGGCUGUGUAAUUAUGAGACUAGUUGGGCAUGUUUCGAGGAUCCUCGUUCUCCGGUGGACGUACGUUCGUAAGGCUAAUCAGAGUGAGGAUUUCAUGUCCCUAUUUCUAAAAAUGCCACGUCAAUUUUAUGGUUGAAUGAAACAUCAUCUCUCAAUAGAGAGUUUUAUCUCA